UGUACUGUUCUUACUUUGUAGGUUGUCUUUUAUACACACCAGUGACCAGGAUAUACUAAAGGUUUUACAAACUAGGGACAAGCACAUACUUCAAGAUCUUGCGCUAACAUUAUCUGAAGUCGUUACCAAGAGAAGAUUGAACAAGGUACCUAACGUCUACACAUUUAACCAACUUUAGUGGUGGAUUCAACGACGUGGUUGUCUUUUAUACACACCAGUGACCAGGAUAUACUAAAGGUUUUACAAACUAGGGACAAGCACAUACUUCAAGGUAAAUACAAACUUUAAUCGC